UAACCUGCCCAAGAGAUCGGGAUAACACCUGGAAACAGAUGCUAAUACCGGAUAACAACAGAUGAUGCCUAUCAACUGUUUAAAAGAUGUUCUGCUAUCACUCUUGGAUGGACCUGCGGUGCAUUAGCUAGUUGGUAGGGUAACGGCCUACCAAGGCGAUGAUGCAUAGCCGAGUUGAGAGACUGAUCGGCCACAUUGGGACUGAGACACGGCCCAAACUCCUACGGGAGGCAGCAGAC
rnacentral:rRNA from 1 species